CUCUCUCACACACACACCUGUCUCUCUCUCACCUGUCUCUCUCUCUCUCACCCCUCUCUCUCUUUCUCUCUCAUCUGCCUCGCUCUCUGACCCGUCUCUCUCAUCCAUCUCUCUCUCUCUCACCCGUCUGUCUCUCUCUCUCUCUAUCUAUCUUUCUCUCUCUCUCUCUCUCUCUCUUUCUCUCUGUCUUGUAAAAUAAAUUUAUCCAGUGUCUCUUCCUCUGACCUCAGCGUGAGGAGAAAUCUCCUGAGCUUGUGGUUUUAUUUUCUCUUUUUCCUCCUGCUCACCUUGUGCUGUUAUUGAUGACUUCAUCCCUCUGACUCGGCACAACUCCAGCGGCUCGUUACUGAUUUCCGCACAGAGACGAGAGCGCUUUAACGCAGACGCUCAAUUUAGCACGACAUUUCCUCCGUAUACGUGUACAUUCAUACACAUCCUUUUUUCCUCAAGUGCAGAUUCAGCCAUUUCAGAAAUCACUUCUGCUUCUCACAAACUCUCAGCAAAGCAGAAAAUGCAAAAUAUCUCCUUAUAUUGUUCUUAAUAAUGAUUUACUUAUUGAUUUACAUAUAAAAACUGUUCAACUGAAAGAGAAUUAGAGUAAAAACUCUUAAACAGUGCUGACUUUCUCUCCGCUUUAGGGCCCAAGUGACUGUUUAUAUUAAAGAACAUUUUUUUUCAGUCUCGUUACAAAAGCAUUAACGCUGCAGCGGCCGUAAUGAGGCUCGAUCUCUCGCCCCGGCUGCUUUUCACUUCUGCUGAUAAAUAAAAAGGUUAAAACUCAUUUCUCUGUUUAGUCAUUAUUUAUAUUUACAUCACGACUUUAAUUCUGGGAGAAAAAAAAACCCAAAAAACCUUUUUUUCAUUAAAACGCAGGUCACAUGACAUCCUCGUCCUCAUCCGUCUCUCUGAGAGUGAGUUUAUUAAAGACGAGGGUUAAAGCCGUUUUGUGACGUGAUUAAAAUGAUGAUGUCUGAUCUCAGAGCGAACGUCUGAUUAAAAUGAUGAUGUCUGAUCUCAGAGCAAACAUCUGAUUAAAAUGAUGAUGUCUGAUCUCAGAGCGAACAUCUGAUUAAAAUGAUGAUGUCUGAUCUCAGAGCGAACGUCUGAUUAAAAUGAUGAUGUCUGAUCUCAGAGCGAACAUCUGAUUAAAAUGAUGAUGUCUGAUCUCAGAGCAAACAUCUGAUUAAAAUGAUGUCAUUUCCCAGCCUGAUCUCGAGUUCCUCGUUAACACAGAUGUCCUCGUCUCAGUAAUGACUCACAUUCACACACUGCUGAUAUAAACCCUGAGUUUUACGUACAGAUCAGACACGUGAUGUUUAUAUCAGUAAGAUGGGGAAGUACGGUUGUGAUGUUGUAUUUUUCACGUUAAACACGUUUCUGUCUUUUCAUCAAGAGGUAAUAAAUAAUUCCUGUCCUUUAUGAACACUGAAUAUUUAUAUAAACGAUAUUCUACAGUUUUGUUUGGAGCUGUUAGAAAAUAACUGGUAUAACAGGAAAUCUGAGCCUCGUCACGUCACCCAAAAUGUGUUUAUAGGAACGAUAGGAUUCUUUCACACUUUCUCUUUCCUCUUCAACCACCAGCUCACGGUUUACAUCUCACGCGUAAUCCUGCGAGAAACGCGCGCAAAAUCCGUCUGAUUUAAAAACAGAACUCGAACAACCUUUACAGAGAAACACAGAGUGGCAUCAGCUGACCAAUCAGAAUGCAGCUCGGAGUGGCAUCAGCUGACCAAUCAGAAUGCAGCUCAGAGUGGCAUCAGCUGACCAAUCAGAAUGCAGCUUAGAGUGGCAUUAGCUGACCAAUCAGAAUGCAGCUCGGAGUGGCAUCAGCUGACCAAUCAGAUCGCAGCUUGGAGUGGCAUCGGCCGACCAAUCAGAAUGCAGCUCGGAGUGGCAUCAGCUGACCAAUCAGAUCGCAGCUUGGAGUGGCAUCGGCCGACCAAUCAGAAUGCAGCUCAGAGUGGCAUUAGCUGACCAAUCAGAUCACGAGGAAAACUGACAUGGAGGACGGGAGAAAAUAUCGUCAGUGUCCUGAUGUUCUGUUCCAGAGUCAGUGUUUGAGCUCCACGGAUGAAGUCUGUCCUGGGAACCAUGUCCAUUUCCAAAGUUCUGUUCCGAUAAAAACGUGGCUGUUUUUAUAAACACGGAGGACAAAACCGUCGAGAUAAAACUGUACAAUCGAAGCUGUGAUACGAGGACACAUCUGGAUAUAAACACAUCUGGAUAUAAACUCACACUGCAGUCGCGUUCCUCGGCGUUCCUCCUUCCCUCAGACGCGGCGGAGAGACGAGAGCGAGAGAACGAGGGAAUAAAAGAGUGGCAGAGACGAGAGACGGAGACAGUCACGUCCUGAUCGGAGCUCCUCACAGGCCUGGCCAC